rnacentral:lncRNA from 1 species
CACGGGAUUUAAGGAGUUGUAGAUUAAUGUUUUAAGUGUGUAAUAAUAAAAUGAUAAAGUAAGAGAGAGAAAGUAAUAAAGUGAUAAAGUAAGAAAGAGAAUGUAAUAAAGUGAUAAAGUAGGAGAGAGAAUGUAAUAAAGAAAUACUUAAUUAGUGUUAAUUAAGUGUUUAAAAUUCUUUAUUUUUGCCAAAUAUAGAAAUGUAGCAUCUUCGUUGGGACGGCCCAAAAAAGAAUAUGUAGCAUCUUGGGCGGGACGGAGGGAG